UCUCCUUCUGUUUCAGGUCUUGGACCUGUUCCUGGGCUCCUGCACUCUGAUAUCCAUCUCACCUGCUUCUAAGUGUCCGUCACAGCCGGCGUGGAAACCUGGAGGUUCCCUUCAGAUUUCACAACGCUUUCUUUCAAAUCUCCUUAUGUUUCAGGUCUUGGACCUUUUCCUGGGCUCCUGCACUCUGAUAUCCAUCUCACCUGCUUCUAAGUGUCCGUCACAACCAGCGUGGAAACCUGGAGGUUCCCUCCAGAUUUCACAGUGCUUUCUUUCCGCUCCACUUAUGUUUCAGGUCUUGGAUCUCUUCCUGGGCUCCUGCACUCUGAUAUCCAUCUCACCCGCUUCUAAGUGUCCGUCACAACCAGUGUGGAAAGCUGGAAGUUCCCUCCAGAUUGCACAACGCUUUCUUUGCACUCUCCUUGUGUUUCACGUCUUGGAUCUCUUCCUGGGCUCCUGCACUCUGAUAUCUAUCUCACCCG
ensembl:lncRNA